rnacentral:misc_RNA from 1 species
UCCGGCUUGUCACCGGCGAGUCCCAUGUCAAGGGCUGGUAAGGUUCUGCGCGUUGCGUCGAAUUGAACCACAUGCUCCACCGCUUGUGCGGGCCCCCGUCAAUUCCUUUGAGUUUUAAUCUUGCGACCGUACUCCCCAGGCGGCGAACUUCACGCGUUAGCUGCGGUACUAAGGAAGUCUCCUUCCCCAACACCUAGUUCGCAUCGUUUAGGGCGUGGACUAC